CUUGGUCAUUUAGAGGAAGUAAAAGUCGUAACAAGGUUUCCGUGGGUGAACCUGCGGAAGGAUCAUUAACACGAAACCCACGUUUCAUACCAAUCUGUGCUCUCGUAACCUACAAAGUAGUAGGAACCCUCAACUCGAGUGGAUCGCGGCGUUUUACGCUGUCUUUCUUAACUUUAUUUGAGAUCUUACUUACUUUAUUUAUUUUUAACCCCUUGUAUCAUCUAUUGACUGAACCUUGGAAGUUUGAGACCCUUUGGGGAACUCGCUUCUGAUAUUACGAAACUCUGAACAACUCUUAGCAACGGAUAUCUUGGUUCUCGCAACGAUGAAGAACGCAGCGAAAUGCGAUACGUAAUGCGAAUUGCAGAAUUCAGUGAAUCAUCAAAUCUUUGAACGCAAAUUGCGCUCUCGGGUAUCCCUGGGAGCACGCCUCUUUGAGUAUCGGUUCUACCUCAUCUCGACAGCGUACUUUUUAACAAGGUAUGUGUAGUCGGAAAAUGAGUGUCUCAGUUUUUCUCUAUCUUUUACCUUCGUGGCAAUUGAAAAGAGUUUCUUUACUGAGUCACUUCAAACACAGAGAAGAACCUGGACCUUCCCACUUAAUUGGGGGAUGACGCAAGAUAAUUCACUCUUCGUGAGUGUUUAAAACCUUCGUCUCUCCUGAGGGAUGUGCUCCGGUUUUGAUCCGGGAAUUUUGUUUCUCUUCACGGAGAAAUAAAACACCUUUUCAGAAUAAGAUCUCAGAUGAAGCGAGAAUACCCGCCGAAUUUAAGCAUAUCAAUAAGCGGAGGA
rnacentral:rRNA from 1 species